rnacentral:rRNA from 1 species
AGAGUUUGAUCCUGGCUCAGGACGAACGCUGGCGGCGUGCCUCAUACAUGCAAGUCGAGCGAAUUGGCUUCGGCCAGUUAGCGGCGGACGGGUGAGUAACGCGUGGGCAAUCUGCCCUAAAGACCGGGAUAACAUUCCGAAAGGGAUGCUAAUACCGGGUGUGAUCUUUUCUUCGCAUGAAGAGAAGAAGAUAGGAGAAAUCCGCUUUAGGAUGAGCCCGCGUCCCAUUAGCUAGUUGGUAAGGUAAUGGCUUACCAAGGCGACGAUGGGUAGCCGACCUGAGAGGGUGACCGGCCACACUGGGACUGAGACACGGCCCAGACUCCUACGGGAGGCAGCAGUCGGGAAUAUUGGGCAAUGGGGGAAACCCUGACCCAGCAACGCCGCGUGAGUGAUGAAGGCCUUCGGGUCGUAAAGCUCUGUCCUUGGGGACGAAGAAAUGACGGUACCCAAGAAGAAAGCCACGGCUAACUACGUGCCAGCAGCCGCGGUAAUACGUAGGUGGCGAGCGUUGUCCGGAAUUACUGGGCGUAAAGGGCGAGUAGGCGGUUUUACAAGUCAGAUGUGAAAUGCAUGGGCUCAACCCAUGAACUGCAUUUGAAACUGUAAGACUUGAGUGCGGUAGAGGAAAGUGGAAUUCCCAGUGUAGCGGUGAAAUGCGUAGAUAUUGGGAGGAACACCAGUGGCGAAGGCGACUUUCUGGGCCGUAACUGACGCUGAGGCGCGAAAGCGUGGGGAGCAAACAGGAUUAGAUACCCUGGUAGUCCACGCCGUAAACGAUGGAUGCUAGGUGUGGGAGGUAUCGACCCCUUCCGUGCCGGAGCUAACGCAAUAAGCAUCCCGCCUGGGGAGUACGACCGCAAGGUUGAAACUCAAAGGAAUUGACGG